UACAGAGGUCUCAAGCGUUGUUCGGAUUCAUUGGGCGUAAAGGGUGCGUAGGUGGCGAGGCAAGUCGGAUGUGAAAUCCCGGGGCUCAACCCCGGAACUGCAUUCGAUACUGCCUUGCUAGAGUACUGGAGAGGAGAUUGGAAUUUACGGUGUAGCAGUGAAAUGCGUAGAUAUCGUAAGGAAGACCAGUGGCGAAGGCGGAUCUCUGGACAGUUACUGACACUGAGGCACGAAGGCCAGGGGAGCAAACGGG
rnacentral:rRNA from 1 species